rnacentral:rRNA from 1 species
GAUGAACGCUGGCGGCGUGCCUAAUACAUGCAAGUCGAGCGAACAGACGCGGCGCUUGCUCCUCUGACGUUAGCGGCGGACGGGUGAGUAACACGUGGAUAACCUACCUAUAAGACUGGGAUAACUUCGGGAAACCGGAGCUAAUACCGGAGAAUAUAUUGAGCCGCAUGGUUCAAUAGUGAAAGACGGUUUUGCUGUCACUUAUAGAUGGAUCCGCGCCGCAUUAGCUAGUUGGUAAGGUAACGGCUUACUAAGGCAACGAUGCGUAGCCGACCUGAGAGGGGGGUCGCCCACACUGGAAGUUAGACGCGGACCAGACUCCUACGGGAGGCCGCAGUAGGGAAUCUUCCGCAGUGGGCGAAAGCCUGACGGAGCAGCGCGGCGUGAGUGAUGAAGGUCUUCGGAUCGUAAAACUGGGUUAUUAGGGAAGAACAAAUGUGUAAGUAACUAUGCACGGCGUGACGGUACCGAAUCAGAAAGCCACGGCUAACUACGUG